GAAUCAAACGUUAUUAAAAAAUUACAAUCCUCAACUGCCUAUCGUGAUGUAUUAUAGAAACGAAAAAUGAUCCUAUAAACGCUCUGUUCGUUACUGAUCGUGAAAUUGUUCCAGGCUGUUGCGCUGACUGAAUUAAGCGCUGCAAUACGCCUCUUGGAUGUCAUGGCGAAACGACGGCAACGCUAUCUGUCGGUUAACGGCGGCAACUCGAGGACGUUGUUUUAAAUUAUUGUUUUAUUCAGUGCAAUAUGAAAUUAAAAGUGAUAUUAUGAGCCACACUAUCGUCAAAUGUGGAUUUCAGAAUAUCCACGCAGAAUUCUUUCGCGGAAAAUCUGUGUCGAAAGGGUAUAAACUAUUCCAAAGCCAUCAUGUUCAGUAGGUCGUCGAAAUUGAUGAUGAAGCUAGUGGAGAACGAAUCGUCCGUGGGAAAGUAAUACCACGGACGAGAGUACAUAAUCCGCCGUACGAAGUGAAAUUAGAGGAACUUUGCAUCUAUACAUGCAAAACAGAAAUG